rnacentral:piRNA from 1 species
UGCUGGCACCACUCCGGGCCUACUUCCCGCAA